AGUGGAGCCUGCGGCUUAAUUUGACUCAACACGGGAAACCUCACCAGGCCCGGACACCGGAAGGAUUGACAGAUUGAGAGCUCUUUCUUGAUUCGGUGGGUGGUGGUGCAUGGCCGUUCUUAGUUGGUGGAGCGAUUUGUCUGGUUAAUUCCGAUAACGAACGAGACUCUAGCCUGCUAACUAGGCGUAUUUCGACAUCCCAAAGGCCCGCCGGUUCGGGGUUUCCACUUCGUUCCGCGCGCGGUUUUUACUGUCGGCGUACAAACAAUUCUUCUUAGAGGGACAGGCGGCUCUUAGCCGCACGAGAUUGAGCAAUAACAGGUCUGUGAUGCCCUUAGAUGUUCUGGGCCG
rnacentral:rRNA from 2 species